UAUUCUGCCCCACGGGGAAGGAUGAGAAGCUUCGACUAAGGUUCGACUCGAGCGAAGUGAGAGAACGUUGCCGCAGGCAACGGCCCGAAGGGCGAGGCGCUUUAGCGCCGAGUAAUCCUUCCCCCACCACCA
rnacentral:sRNA from 1 species